rnacentral:rRNA from 1 species
GGUUAAGCGACUAAGCGUACACGGUGGAUGCCCUGGCAGUCAGAGGCGAUGAAGGACGUGCUAAUCUGCGAAAAGCGUCGGUAAGGUGAUAUGAACCGUUACAGCCGGCGAUGUCCGAAUGGGGAAACCCAGUGCAAUUCGUUGCACUAUCGUUAACUGAAUACAUAGGUUAACGAGGCGAACCGGGGGAACUGAAACAUCUAAGUACCCCGAGGAAAAGAAAUCAACCGAGAUUCCCCCAGUAGCGGCGAGCGAACGGGGAGCAGCCCAGAGUCUGAAUCAGCUUGUGUGUUAGUGGAACGGUCUGGAAAGUCCGACGGUACAGGGUGAUAGUCCCGUACACCAAAAUGCACAGGUUGUGAACUCGAAGAGUAGGGCGGGACACGUGGUAUCCUGUCUGAAUAUGGGGGGACCAUCCUCCAAGGCUAAAUACUCCUGACUGACCGAUAGUGAACCAGUACCGUGAGGGAAAGGCGAAAAGAACCCCGGCGAGGGGAGUGAAAAAGAACCUGAAACCGUGUACGUACAAGCAGUGGGAGCACCUUUAUGGUGUGACUGCGUACCUUUUGUAUAAUGGGUCAGCGACUUAUAUUCUGUAGCAAGGUUAACCGUAUAGGGGAGCCGCAGGGAAACCGAGUCUUAACUGGGCGUUAAGUUGCAGGGUAUAGACCCGAAACCCGGUGAUCUAGCCAUGGGCAGGUUGAAGGUUGGGUAACACUAACUGGAGGACCGAACCGACUAAUGUUGAAAAAUUAGCGGAUGACUUGUGGCUGGGGGUGAAAGGCCAAUCAAACCGGGAGAUAGCUGGUUCUCCCCGAAAGCUAUUUAGGUAGCGCCUCGUGAACUCAUCUUCGGGGGUAGAGCACUGUUUCGGCUAGGGGGUCAUCCCGACUUACCAACCCGAUGCAAACUACGAAUACCGAAGAAUGUUAUCACGGGAGACACACGGCGGGUGCUAACGUCCGUCGUGAAGAGGGAAACAACCCAGACCGCCAGCUAAGGUCCCAAAGUCAUGGUUAAGUGGGAAACGAUGUGGGAAGGCACAGACAGCCAGGAUGUUGGCUUAGAAGCAGCCAUCAUUUAAAGAAAGCGUAAUAGCUCACUGGUCGAGUCGGCCUGCGCGGAAGAUGUAACGGGGCUAAACCAUGCACCGAAGCUGCGGCAGCGACACUAUGUGUUGUUGGGUAGGGGAGCGUUCUGUAAGCCUGCGAAGGUGACCUGUGAGGGUUGCUGGAGGUAUCAGAAGUGCGAAUGCUGACAUAAGUAACGAUAAAGCGGGUGAAAAGCCCGCUCGCCGGAAGACCAAGGGUUCCUGUCCAACGUUAAUCGGGGCAGGGUGAGUCGACCCCUAAGGCGAGGCCGAAAGGCGUAGUCGAUGGGAAACAGGUUAAUAUUCCUGUACUUGGUGUUACUGCGAAGGGGGGACGGAGAAGGCUAUGUUAGCCGGGCGACGGUUGUCCCGGUUUAAGCAUGUAGGCUGGUUAUCCAGGCAAAUCCGGAUAAUCAAGGCUGAGGUGUGAUGACGAGGCACUACGGUGCUGAAGUAACAAAUGCCCUGCUUCCAGGAAAAGCCUCUAAGCAUCAGGUAACAUCAAAUCGUACCCCAAACCGACACAGGUGGUCAGGUAGAGAAUACCAAGGCGCUUGAGAGAACUCGGGUGAAGGAACUAGGCAAAAUGGUGCCGUAACUUCGGGAGAAGGCACGCUGGUGUGUAGGUGAAGUCCCUGCGGAUGGAGCUGAGACCAGUCGAAGAUACCAGCUGGCUGCAACUGUUUAUUAAAAACACAGCACUGUGCAAACACGAAAGUGGACGUAUACGGUGUGACGCCUGCCCGGUGCCGGAAGGUUAAUUGAUGGGGUUAUCCGUAAGGAGAAGCUCUUGAUCGAAGCCCCGGUAAACGGCGGCCGUAACUAUAACGGUCCUAAGGUAGCGAAAUUCCUUGUCGGGUAAGUUCCGACCUGCACGAAUGGCGUAAUGAUGGCCAGGCUGUCUCCACCCGAGACUCAGUGAAAUUGAACUCGCUGUGAAGAUGCAGUGUACCCGCGGCAAGACGGAAAGACCCCGUGAACCUUUACUAUAGCUUGACACUGAACAUUGAGCCUUGAUGUGUAGGAUAGGUGGGAGGCUUUGAAGCGUGGACGCCAGUCUGCGUGGAGCCAACCUUGAAAUACCACCCUUUAAUGUUUGAUGUUCUAACGUUGGCCCCUGACCGGGGUUGCGGACAGUGUCUGGUGGGUAGUUUGACUGGGGCGGUCUCCUCCCAAAGCGUAACGGAGGAGCACGAAGGUUAGCUAAUCCUGGUCGGACAUCAGGAGGUUAGUGCAAUGGCAUAAGCUAGCUUGACUGCGAGCGUGACGGCGCGAGCAGGUGCGAAAGCAGGUCAUAGUGAUCCGGUGGUUCUGAAUGGAAGGGCCAUCGCUCAACGGAUAAAAGGUACUCCGGGGAUAACAGGCUGAUACCGCCCAAGAGUUCAUAUCGACGGCGGUGUUUGGCACCUCGAUGUCGGCUCAUCACAUCCUGGGGCUGAAGUAGGUCCCAAGGGUAUGGCUGUUCGCCAUUUAAAGUGGUACGCGAGCUGGGUUUAGAACGUCGUGAGACAGUUCGGUCCCUAUCUGCCGUGGGCGCUGGAGAAUUGAGGGGGGCUGCUCCUAGUACGAGAGGACCGGAGUGGACGCAUCACUGGUGUUCGGGUUGUCAUGCCAAUGGCACUGCCCGGUAGCUAAAUGCGGAAGAGAUAAGUGCUGAAAGCAUCUAAGCACGAAACUUGCCCCGAGAUGAGUUCUCCCUGAGACUUUAAGUCUCCUGAAGGAACGUUAAAGACGAUGACGUUGAUAGGCCGGGUGUGUAAGCGCAGCGAUGCGUUGAGCUAACCGGUACUAAUGAACCGUGAGGCUUAACCUU